rnacentral:tRNA from 1 species
AAUGAAUUGCCUGACGAAAAGGAUUACCUUGAUAGGGUAAAUUAUGUAACUACUUUUACAUUCAUUA